CCAGUUUUAUGUCCGCUCUCACCCUCUUAUAGUUCUUGCACCUGUUAGAAACACACACACACACAUACCCAUUGUUUCUUCAUCCUGUUGUUUACAAUCUUGAGCUACAAUAAAAUAAACCUGUUGAAUGUUAUUCCUAGAGGGUAGGAUGUUUGGUUAUGAUAGGCCACACUCCAGACUCAUGUUAUAAUAUUAUUGUAUUUCAACACGCUAUCAAAGUCUGUUAAGAACUGAAGAAUGAGGGAGGAUGUGUGUACUGCCCACAAGGGCCUCUGUAGCCAGUGUUGACAGUACUGGCAUCGUCAAGCUAGGUGUGUGUGUGUGUCUGUGUCUGUGUGUGUGCAUACAUGAAUGCCUGUGAAUAUAUCAACAUUAUAGUUAUUAUACAAAUUAUCUGCCCUCUCUCUCUCUCUCUCUCCUCUUUGUCUCUCUCCUUUCUUUCUCUCCUCUUUUUCUCGUUCCCUCUCUCAGGCAUAAUAAGUUGAAGUUGAAGCAGGAUCAUGACAUUGUGGUUUAUGAGGACCUGACAGGGGAGGUCACCUGCCCCAGCCCAACAACCUUAACACGUGAGUCGCUACAACGCCACCUGGGGCCAUUGCUCCUGGCCACUAAAGUACUUUCAAUUGAAGAAAACAUAAGAUAAGUAAUUUGAUAAUUGGGGUGUGUAUUUGUGUUGUAGUCUGUUGCUGAGUGCGUCUAGAAGGCUGGCUGCAGCUGAUGCUGAGGUGGGCUCCCCAGGAGCGAGGCAGACCCCUAGACCACCUCCCGACUGCUUCUCUCAGCUUGUGACUAUAUUGGAGCAAAAGGAGAUAGACGGGAGGUGGACAGACCUUUCUCUGGUGUUUCCGUUUGACCGUUCCUCCUGCAGCUAUGAGCCACAGUUCACCCCAUCCACAAUGCCAGAAAAUAUACGCUUUGUCCAGUAAAGUGCGCAGCCCCGUGAGUGGGAGUCAUGUGGAUGGGGUCCGCUCUUCCUCCUCUGUUCCCCCUCUACUGACCCCCAGACCUAGCCUACAGCAGCCGUGAGUACACACAGACACAUGCACACACACCUAUCACCUUCAGGUGGACAGACUGGUGGACAGAUAGUGUGUUAAUGUGGUGUGUCUCAAGCUGAUGUCAAACAGAAGCGCUGUCCCGUUCCAGACUCCCUGCUGUGGUCCUCUGCUGCUGCUGUGUGGUGGGGAAGACUUACUGCAACAGAGUGCAUUGCGCCAUUUGACAUUGAUAUUGACUCUUGGAGUUGCCCCUAAAAGAAUGUAUUGAACGAA
rnacentral:lncRNA from 1 species